AUCCGCUGUCCCCGCACAACGUUUAGCCUGCCAGCCGAGGCAGUUUACCGGGGUGUGGCCGUCGCAUUGCCCAUGCGACUUCUUGGAGCCAGUUGUGCGAGUUGAGUGUAUGUGGAGACCAGAAGUUCACGAGCUAUCCGAGGAUGCGACUGCCCAGGAUCCAAAGGUACUACUCCUCCAUACACUAGUGUUGUAGAUAUACUAUAUAUCAUGGUAAUAGCAUGAAAAUACGGCAAGUAUGGGAAUAUGAAAAUACUAUGGAAAAGU